UACGGGGGGGGCAAGCGUUGUUCGGAAUUACUGGGCGUAAAGGGCUCGUAGGCGGCCAACUAAGUCGGACGUGAAAUCCCUCGGCUUAACCGGGGAACUGCGUUCGAUACUGGAUGGCUUGAGUUCGGGAGAGGGAUGCGGAAUUCCAGGUGUAGCGGUGAAAUGCGUAGAUAUCUGGAGGAACACCGGUGGCGAAGGCGGCCCCCUGGUUGGAUACUGACGCUGAGACGCGAAAGCGUGGGGAGCAAACAGG
rnacentral:rRNA from 1 species